GCCGACUGUCCCCCCAAGGCUCCAGGGUGAGCAGGUGCACGCUAGGAGGCAGGUUCACCCCUAGGCCACCCCACUGAGGAGAACCAACCAGUGAGAAGAGAAGCCUGGCUGCAACUGUACUGUGUCAAUGCAUUCUUGCCAUGUUGGCCCAGGUGUGUGCCGAGGUGGCGGUCUCUUCAAAGGCAUAGAGCGGCGGCAGUAGCAGCUCCUCUCCCAGCGUGCGGUGCAGGCAGCCAAAGUCGCACUCAGGGGUGGCAAGGUUACUGUAGGGACGACAGCCAGUGUGACAGACAACACUAUAAAAUCAACAACCUAAUUUUUAACGGUUAUUAGCAAGUGAUAAAUUAGUGGCAUACUGCACCUCACUGACCCCAACACUGUGCUUACCUGUGGAUGAGGUAGUGUUUGCCACGCACCACCAGACCCUCGCCAAACUGUGUCUCAUUGAGAGGCUCACCCACCCCAAAGGCAUCGUCAUGGAGGAGGCGCCGGUGGACCAUCAGCUCCAUCUGUCCUGGGUUGAGGGACGUGCCACCCUGUGAAGGAUGAGGCAAGCAUUAAUGACUGGACCAGAUGUGUCAAGUGUCCCAAGUAGCAUGAUGCCUACCUGGGAGCGGUCGGUGAGGAUGGCCGCCCUCAGACCUGUGCUGUUGCCCAGGAUAAGGCGAGAGUUGACUGGGUAGUAAUUG